UACGUAGGGGGCAAGCGUUGUCCGGAAUCAUUGGGCGUAAAGCGCGCGUAGGCGGCCCUGUAAGUCCGUUGUGAAAGUCGAAGGCUCAACCUUCGAAAGCCGAUGGAUACUGCAGGGCUAGAGUCCGGAAGAGGCGAGUGGAAUUCCUGGUGUAGCGGUGAAAUGCGUAGAUAUCCGGAGGAACACCGGUGGCGAAGGCGGCUUCCUGGACCGACACUGACGCUGAGGCGCGAAAGCCAGGGGAGCAAACGGG
rnacentral:rRNA from 1 species